CACACACUAACAAAAACAAAGUAACCGAUGGAGGCAGCGGUGGAGCAGUAACUCCUGUGUUCUGCGAGGUAAAAUGUCUGUUUUUGUCAAAGGAGUCUGGUGGCUUUGAAGAGAGCAGAGAUAACGGCUUCAGUUCCCCGUCGUAAAGGGCCGUCUG